UUGGAGGGCAAGUCUGGUGCCAGCAGCCGCGGUAAUUCCAGCUCCAAUAGCGUAUAUUAAAGUUGUUGCAGUUAAAAAGCUCGUAGUUGAAUUUCGGGAUUAGCAGGUCGGUCGUGCCACUGGUACGUACUGGUCUUGCUGAUUCCUCCCUCUUGACGAGCCGUAAUGCCAUUAAUUUGGUGUUGCGGGGAAUCAGGACUGUUACUUUGAAAAAAUUAGAGUGUUUAAAGCAGGCAUGCGCUUGAAUACAUUAGCAUGGAAUAAUGAAAUAGGACGUUCGAUCUUAUUUUGUUGGUUUCUAGGAUUGACGUAAUGAUUAAUAGGGAUAGUUGGGGGCAUUAGUAUUCAAUUGUCAGAGGUGAAAUUCUUGGAUUUAUUGAAGACUAACUACUGCGAAAGCAUUUGCCAAGGAUGUUUUCAUUAAUCAAGAACGAGAGUUAGGGGAUCGAAGACGAUCAGAUACCGUCGUAGUCUUAACCAUAAACUAUGCCGACUAGGGAUCGGAUGAUGUUAAUUUUUUAAUGACUCAUUCGGCGCCUUACGGGAAAC
rnacentral:rRNA from 1 species